AUACGGAGGAUGCGAGCGUUAUCCGGAUUUAUUGGGUUUAAAGGGAGCGUAGGUGGGAUAUUAAGUCAGCUGUGAUAGUUUGGGGCUCAACCUUAAAAUUGCAGUUGAUACUGGUUUCCUUGAGUACGGUACAGGUGGGCGGAAUUCGUGGUGUAGCGGUGAAAUGCUUAGAUAUCACGAAGAACUCCGAUCGCGAAGGCAGCUCACCGGGCCGGAACUGACACUGAUGCUCGAAAGUGCGGGUAUCAAACAGGAUUAGAUACCCUGGUAGUCCGCACAGUAAACGAUGAAUACUUGUUUUCGGCGAUAUAAUGUCGGAGGCAAAGCGAAAGCGAUAAGUAUUCCACCUGGGGAGUACGCCGGCAACGGUGAAACUCAAAGGAAUUGACGGGG
rnacentral:rRNA from 1 species